rnacentral:rRNA from 1 species
AAAUUGAAGAGUUUGAUCAUGGCUCAGAUUGAACGCUGGCGGCAGGCCUAACACAUGCAAGUCGAACGGUAACAGGAAGCAGCUUGCUGCUUCGCUGACGAGUGGCGGACGGGUGAGUAAUGUCUGGGAAGCUGCCUGAUGGAGGGGGAUAACUACUGGAAACGGUGGCUAAUACCGCAUAACGUCGCAAGACCAAAGAGGGGGACCUUCGGGCCUCUUGCCAUCAGAUGUGCCCAGAUGGGAUUAGCUAGUUGGUGAGGUAACGGCUCACCAAGGCGACGAUCCCUAGCUGGUCUGAGAGGAUGACCAGCCACACUGGAACUGAGACACGGUCCAGACUCCUACGGGAGGCAGCAGUGGGGAAUAUUGCACAAUGGGCGCAAGCCUGAUGCAGCCAUGCCGCGUGUAUGAAGAAGGCCUUAGGGUUGUAAAGUACUUUCAGCGGGGAGGAAGGUGUUGUGGUUAAUAACCGCAGCAAUUGACGUUACCCGCAGAAGAAGCACCGGCUAACUCCGUGCCAGCAGCCGCGGUAAUACGGAGGGUGCAAGCGUUAAUCGGAAUUACUGGGCGUAAAGCGCACGCAGGCGGUCUGUCAAGUCGGAUGUGAAAUCCCCGGGCUCAACCUGGGAACUGCAUUCGAAACUGGCAGGCUUGAGUCUUGUAGAGGGGGGUAGAAUUCCAGGUGUAGCGGUGAAAUGCGUAGAGAUCUGGAGGAAUACCGGUGGCGAAGGCGGCCCCCUAGACAAAGACUGACGCUCAGGUGCGAAAGCGUGGGGAGCAAACAGGAUUAGAUACCCUGGUAGUCCACGCCGUAAACGAUGUCUACUUGGAGGUUGUGCCCUUGAGGCGUGGCUUCCGGAGCUAACGCGUUAAGUAGACCGCCUGGGGAGUACGGCCGCAAGGUUAAAACUCAAAUGAAUUGACGGGGGCCCGCACAAGCGGUGGAGCAUGUGGUUUAAUUCGAUGCAACGCGAAGAACCUUACCUGGUCUUGACAUCCACAGAAGAAUCCAGAGAUGGAUU